rnacentral:rRNA from 1 species
GAUGAACGCUGGCGGCGUGCCUAAUACAUGCAAGUCGAGCGAACAGACGAGGAGCUUGCUCCUCUGACGUUAGCGGCGGACGGGUGAGUAACACGUGGAUAACCUACCUAUAAGACUGGGAUCACUUCGGGAAACCGGAGCUAAUACCGGAUAAUAUAUUGAACCGCAUGGUUCAAUAGUGAAAGACGGUUUUGCUGUCACGUAUAGAUGGAUCCGCGCCGCAUUAGCUAGUUGGUAAGGUAACGGCUUACCACGGCGACGAUGCGUAGCCGACCUGAGAGGGUGAUCGGCCACCCUAGAACUGAGACACCGUCCAGACUCCUACGAGAGGCAGCAGUAGCGAAUCUGCGGCAAUGGGCGAAAGCUUGACGGAGCAACGCCGCGUGAGUGAUGGAGGUCUUCGGAUCGUAAAACUCUGUUAUUAGGGAAGAACAGAUGUGUAAGUAACUGUGCAGUUCUUGACGGUACCUAAUCAGAAAGCCACGGCUAACUACGUG